AGGUGAUGACUCAUGCUUCCAACUGCCAGGGCUUAGUAGGAGCUUUAAACUAAGCAGGUCUUGGAGAGAAGGGGACUUUCCUGUGUCUCCAGUGGUCUGGAGUGUACUUUCAGCAGCCCGUCUGGGGAAGGAGUUGGAGAAGACGCCAGAGAAGAUGGAAAUAGAUGGUCCAGAUAACUUCCAUCCAAGAGUUUUAAAAGAACUGGCUGAGGAGCACACUGCUCUGUUAAUGCUGAUUUUCAAUAAGUCUUGGAGCACUGGGGAAGAUCCAGAAGACUGGAAGAAAGCUAAUGUUGUGCCAAUAUUUUAAAGGAGUAAAUGGAAUGACCCAGAUGAUUACAGGCCUGUCAGUUGGAUAUUGAUGCUGGGCAGGAUAAUGGAGUGGCUGAUACAUGACUUGAUUAAUAAAGAAUUAAAGCCUAUCAAAACAGGUUUAUGAAAAAUAGACCCUGUCAAACUAAACUGAUAUAUUUUUUGAUGAAAUUACAAGUUUGGUUGAUAAAGGUAAUAGUGUUGAUGUAACAUACUUAAACGUCUUCUUUUAAGGCAUUUGGCUUGGUACGUACAACAUUUUGAUUACAAAAUUUGAACUAUAUAAAAUUAACAUGGCAUACACUAAAUAAAUUAAAAGCUGGCUAA